GUCACUUCGGGAACAUCUGAUAAAUUGAAACGAUACAGAGAAGAUUAGCAUGGCCCUGAGCUAGGAUGACAUGCACAAAUUGAGAAAUAGUCUAAAUUUUU